CCCAACCCUAAUUCAUUCCCUAUAAAUACCAAGCCAUCUCCAAGCCAUUUUCACUUUUCUAAACACUCCCAACUCUCUCUAAUCACUCCCAAGCCAUUCUAAAUUCGAGCAAUAUCAGAUUUUCGGCCAGAUUCAGCAAGCUCCACUAAAGUGAGCAUAACUUCUUCAUUUCUCAUCCGUUUUAGCCCAUUCUUUUUCCAGAGCGCUUGGCUUGACCUUGGCUUCGAUUCUAGGGGUGUUUCACAGCAAACAAGUCCCUAGAACUCCGAAGGACUUGGUGUUCCAAACUCCUAAUCAAUCAACUCACUCGCGGGAUUAUCAAGUAGAAGACUUGCAAAACCAUGUCGUCUAGCUCCUCCAAGAGACGCAAGUCAAAGAAGGGUUCGACUUCCACCGCCAUGUCUCAAAAAGAUUGCAUGAAAUUUAUGGCCAAGCAAUUUGCUAAAGUCCUACCCGACAUCGUUAGCAAGAUUCAAACCGAUUCACCGCAUGGCUCUGUUGACUCAAAGGCAGACAAACCUAAACCGACCUUCCAGUUUAAGCAAUUCAUGGCUUGUAAACCCUUAGAAUUUACUGGCAAGAAUGGCGCUACCGCCAUGAUGAACUGGUUUGAUGCCAUCGAGCUUACCUUCUUGCAAAGUGGUUGCCCUGACGAACUAAGAACCUUGAAUGCAACUGGGGUGUUUCGUGAAAAGGCACUCGAGUGGUGGACGACUGAACGUAACAAAAGAGGAAACAAGGUCGCACAUGCUAUGCCUUGGGA